rnacentral:rRNA from 1 species
CGAAUGGCUCAUUAAAUCAGUUACUGUUCCUCUGAUAUUCUUUUUUACCUGGAUUACUGUGGUAAUUCUAAAGCUAAUACAUGGACAAGUGUUCCGACCUCAGCUUGCUGACAGAUGGAUCACAUUUAUUAGUAGCCCACCGGGGAUUCUUAUUCACCUACAACCCUGUUCCGUGAUUUCGGUCCCUGUCUCAGGACUGGCACUGUGGAUCUUAUCCCCUUCCGUUGCAUUUCUUGUGAUGACUCUAAAUAACUGAUCACAUCGGAUGGCCUCUGAGCCGACUAUGUAUCCCUAAAGCGACUGCCUUAUCCACUGUCCAUGGCAGGUUAUGCGCCUACGAUGGUUGUAACGGGUAACGGGGAAUUAGGGUUCGAUUCCGGAAAGGGAGCCUGAGAAACCGCUACCACAUC